CGGACGUGGGGCAACCUGCCCCAUAGAGGGGGACGAACAGCUGGAAACGGCUGCUAAUACCGCAUAACAAGGAGAGAGCGCAUGUUCUUUUCUUCAAAGAUUUAUCGCUAUGGGAUGGACCCGCGUCUGAUUAGCUGGUUGGUGAGGUAACGGCUCACCAAGGCGACGAUCAGUAGCCGGCUUGAGAGAGUGGACGGCCACAUUGGGACUGAGACACGGCCCAGACUCCUACGGAAGGCAGCAG
rnacentral:rRNA from 1 species